UACGGAAGGGGCAAGCGUUGUUCGGAAUCAUUGGGCGUAAAGGGCGCGUAGGUGGUUCUGUGUGUCUACCGUGAAAGCGUACGGCUCAACCGUAUUUUGUCGGUAGAAACUGCAGGACUUGAGGCUGGGAGGGGCUGGUGGAAUUCCCUGUGUAGCGGUGAAAUGCGUAGAGAUGGGGGAGAACACCCGUGGCGAAGGCGGCCAGCUAGACCAGUUCUGACACUGAGGCGCGACAGCGUGGGGAGCAAACAGGG
rnacentral:rRNA from 1 species